rnacentral:sRNA from 1 species
CUAACAAAAGAUAACUAUAAAACCUUCUGUUUACAUUUGCACUUCACUAGCUAUAUAGCAUAGUGGCAAUUGUACUACAUUUAAUAUGAAGUGCAAGUGCAGGUUUGCCUAUUGUAUGUCAUCUGUCAUUCACAGAGUCUGAGAGGGCUGCUGACAUAAGAUUUCUAGGAUUAUAUCUGAACUGCUAUCUCUUAAACUGGCCACUGCUUUAGUUUCAAGACUGCCUUUAUUUAAGAGCUGGAGAUAAACUUUGAAGAUGUACAACAAAGCAAAAUCUAAAGGAUUAGAUCCUCAAGGGAAAGACUACGAUUCCUCUGGAGCUGACUUUGCUAGAUCAACAAACAUCAAUGAAAGUCGACCAUUGAAAAGGUUUUCACAGCAGCAUUUAGAUGACGUUAAAAUAAACACUUUUGCAG